rnacentral:rRNA from 1 species
UGCAACUCGACUCCAUGAAGUCGGAAUCGCUAGUAAUCGUGGAUCAGAAUGCCACGGUGAAUACGUUCCCGGGCCUUGUACACACCGCCCGUCACACCAUGGGAGUGGGUUGCAAAAGAAGUAGGUAGCUUAACCUUCGGGAGGGCGCUUACCACUUUGUGAUUCAUGACUGGGGUGAAGUCGUAACAAGGUAACCGUAGGGGAACCUGCGGUUGGAUCACCUCCUUACCUGAAAGAAGC